rnacentral:lncRNA from 1 species
GCUCGUCUCCAGUUUUGAACUCAGCCAAAUACCUAUGGUAAUCUCCCUUCAUCUUCAAAUAAAACACCUUGGACUCUCCAACGUUUGCCGCAGGAACAAGCUUGGAUUCGAGAACCUUGAGAAUCCCACCGCAGAUGUUGGAGAGCUCGUUCUCGAUCCGAGCCCUGUACUCCUUGAUAGUGGCGACGUGGUCGCUGUUGCCGCGGCUCUCCUCCUUCUGCUCGAUGGAGGAGACGAUGCGCCACGAGGCACGGCGGGCGCCGAUCACGUUCUUGUAGGCGACGGAGAGGAGGUUGCGCUCUUCGACGGUGGGCUCUUCGCCUUCAGGGAGGGAGGAGACGACCUUCUCCAUGAACUCAACCAUCUCCUCGUAUCGCUCGGCUUGCUCGGCGAGCUUGGCGACGUACACGAUCUCUU